UACGGAGGGGGCUAGCGUUGUUCGGAAUUACUGGGCGUAAAGCGCACGUAGGCGGUUAUUUAAGUCAGAGGUGAAAGCCUGGAGCUCAACUCCAGAACUGCCUUUGAGACUGGAUAACUAGAAUCUUGGAGAGGCGGGUGGAAUUCCGAGUGUAGAGGUGAAAUUCGUAGAUAUUCGGAAGAACACCAGUGGCGAAGGCGACCACCUGGACUGAUACUGACACUGAGGUGCGAAAGCGUGGGGAGCAAACAGG
rnacentral:rRNA from 1 species